GAUAGAUAGAUAGAUAGAUUUAAAACAUUAAAUAUAAAACAUAUGCAUACAUAUCUAAAGUGUAGUUUAAAGUGUAAUUACUACAUUAAAUAUAAUUUAUAUUUACUGAUUUACAAACUAAGAAAUCGGCCUUUGCACAAUUUGUCAUUUUCACCAGUUAAAUAUGACAAUGGUCCAUUCCACCUUUCAAACGAAAUAGGAAUCAUAAUAUAAGUAAAAACAAUAAAAAAAUAAAACUUCUUUUACCUGCACAAAUGGGUUUUACUUCACUAGUGAACUUCAGGAAGUUUUCCUUCCACGCUGAAGUGGCAUUUGUUUGAGAUGUUUUUCCAUUCUUCAGAUCUUUGAACUUUUAUGCCAGUGAAUGAAACGCCCUGAAAAGGUUGUAAAAGCCUGUAAACUUUAUUGGUGGACAAUAAACUAAUUAACGUCUAUAAAGGGAAAAAACGAUAUCUUUUUUAGCUCCAGUUUGAGUCCCUACAUUUCAACAAGCUAAUAAGCGCUGAGAUUAUCAUCAUCUGACUAUUCUCAUAACGCUACUACAGAGAAUGUCUAAAAUUAUUAUAUUAUUUAUACAGGUUACUGAAAAAAAACCCAUAAUAUCAGGAAUUGAAAUAUAUAUAAUAACUAUUAUUGUAUUUUUUAUUAUGUAAUAAGUGAUUAUUUAUUAAUUACCUUUUCGUUGUCCCAUUUGUCCCAUUAAGGUAAUAGUUCUGUUUCUUUGGUUUUAAAUUAAUAUAUUAUAUAACUCAGAGUUUGACUAUAGACAUGCCCCGAAUUGUUACAUUUCAUUGUAUACUUAGGGGAACUCAUCCGUCUUCAAAAAUAGAAAUUGAACCUGGUCUUAAAAAUUAGUAAAAUAAAAAAAAAUUAAACACGACAAAAUUUUUUUUUCCAAACAUUCAAUUAAGUAAAAAAAAAGUUAAAAACACAGAGGGUUUAAUAAUAAAUAAAAUCUUAUAAAAAUCGAGAAUUUAGAGCUUUAUUAGAAAAAUCUUCAUCAGUACCGAAUAUUUCAAUCAACUUAUCAGCUAGAUAAAUUAGAUUCCUUUUUUAUUCAGUAAUGUAACUGAGGUCAUUUCUGAUAUAUUCUGACAUUUAUUUCUGUUUUUUAGAAACGGAUCAUCCAAAUACUACUCCUAUAUUAGCAAUAUAUUAGUUCUUGUACGAGCUUUUCAUGGUAAACAGAGCUGGAUGUGCAGUGUGUGUACUGAGCUGAGGAUUUGAGAGUUAAGUGUGGAGAAGAGUUGAGAAGGUAAUGAGCUGAGUGAAGCGCUGAACAUGUAGAGAUCUGCGUAUAUGAGCUGCGAGCUCAGGGAACAGCUCAGGGUUGGAAGGGGGAGAAACACAUUCCUGGAUGUUUGGUGGUAAAUUUACAGCUAAAGUAAUAAAAACUUUACGACUGAACUAAGCAAGGGAUUGGGUAGGGCUUGUCACGUGACCUACUCUCCGUGAACAUGAACUUUAUGCUGUUGGCGUUUGGUUUGGUGACUCAGAUUCACUCUCAAUCUCUAAAAGAGGAGCAUGCAGUGGUUAUUGGAGCUUAAUUUUAAUCAAUCAAGGGGAACAAUUAUAAAUUGGGCUAGUUUAGGUUUUCCCUCAUUUCAUCCUCAGAUUUAGCCUGAAGAGCUAGCCUCGUUUACUGAUCAAGGUUUGUGGUACACAGAAUUUCCAGCACUGGCUCUUAUUAAAUCAGAGUCGAUGAAAGACGGAAUAUCUGGAUAAAAUGACUUCAUUUGGAUCGAUGUUGAGCUCGUGAGUGUUGGGAAAACGAAGAAGGGGUACCCCAGACAGAUGAGGAGAUGAUGGUGGUCUCACAUUGGAAUUUGGUGAUUUGCAACAAAUGAAGAUAAGAAAAAUAAUACCAUUGUAUGAAAUAAUGCACUGAGAUGGUUUGUUAAUUGCUCAAUGGACUAAAUAUGUUUUACAGUCAUUUUACUUUAUUGCAAAACAUGCAAUAUGAAAAUUACCCAUGAGCCUCUGCCUCCGUUGGAGACGGAGCCAGACGUGCUGAGUGACACGAAGAAAAGAAGGAAAUUCGUGUCCAUGAACACGAAUCAAUCGAUUACAUUUCGUGACUAUAUCAUGAAAUGCCGUGAGACUGUGUUGAAUCAGUUUUGCCGUGAAAUUCCGUUAUUGGAUUGUUUUUUAAUUAUUAUUUCAUAAUAAGGGUUCACUAAUCGUCACUAAUAAUCCUUUUCAUCUGCAGCGAGUUGUGUGUUGGGUUUAGAAAAAAAAGGAAUAAAUAUAAUAUAUUCAAUAAAAUAUAUUAAAUAUGUAAAAUUAAAAAUCUAAACCCCUUAAAAUGCGAGGGUUUGAUAAUAUCAGCUAUAUGGUAAAACAUGUUUAGAACAAAAAAACAACAGAUUUAUUGAAAUUAAUGUAUAUUAAAUAUUGAAAAGAUUCCUUUUUAUUAGCAUGUAUGUUGAGUAGUUAUAAAGUUAGUUUAUUAAGAAAAAAGUUUGAUAAUGCAAAUGUUUAAAAUAAGUUCAGGCAGACUAACAUUUGUACUUUUGCUAUACAGCAGGUGAAAACAUUUUGAUUAUGAAUAUUAUCAUCAGUCUGAGUUUCUGUAUGAGGAAAAAGGUUAUUAAUAUCAGCAUCACAAUUGCAAAAUGGUAUUUUUGCAGUCUAAUAAAAUAUUAUAAUAACCAUUUCAGCCAAAUGUUAGCCCAUGAUUAUUACUGAGACAUGAUUCUAAACUUUCAUGAAUUUAUAGAAAAUUAUUUCUCCAUCACGCUGAGAAACUACCCAGCUGUCUAGUUAAAUAAAGAUAUUAAACUAGGCUAAUAUUGAGCUAUUUAUAUCAUUAUCAGAUACACUCACACAGAUAUGAUUGUAAAUGUUCUUGUAAUUUAAUAAAAGCUGACUGGUUUCUUCACUGUUCUUCCAGGUAAAUGUGAGGUUCAUUUGCUGGAUUUGUAAAAUAAUUGUAGUAUUUUAUCCUCCCCUGUGACGCUAGUCAGCAGUUUUUCUUUUUUUACCUGUCAUUCUAAAAACCCACAUUAGUCUAAACCUCUUUAUUUAGCUUAUAAGAAAUAUAGCUACUUGCACGUCCAGUUAAAUGCUAACUGCAUUUCAAUGUCUCUGUAUACAAUCUAAUACAAUCUAAUCUUAAUCUAAUCUAAUAAAGCAGUGUGGAGUAACUCAGUGCAGGGUGUUGUUACAGUAACACACUGUAAUGUAGAUUACAGUAAGAGAAGUUUUAAACGAACAGGAAACUUGUGGACACACAGCGCAUUAAUGAUAUUAGUGAAUCGUUUCCAGAACGUGUCUGUGAUAUAAUGAGUGAAUUGAAGUUCAAGACUUCUGGUUGUAAUUAGAGUGAAGCGAUCACACAGGAUCACACGGUGUUUCGGUGACACUAACAAUGCUAAUUCUGGUGUACAGCAUAAUGAAGAUGGAGAUGAGCAACAUUAACAUUGAGCAAAUAAAUGAAAACAGAAAAGAGGCACAAGGACAGAGUAGGAGCAGUGGGAGGAGGAUUCUGAAUGAUUCUUCUGGAGUCAACAUUCAGCACAUGAAUAUUAAUUCAAUGUUCCUCUCAAAUUUCCCCUCAAGGCUCCUCUCAAGGUUUCUUUCUUAUACCAUCUCAGGGAGUUUUUUCCUUGUCAUAAUCUUAUAGGCACUGACAUACAAAUUCACAUGUUAUAACCUCUUUCAGUAAAGCUGCUUUGGAAUAAUGUCCAUUAUUAAAAGUGAACUGAAUUUGAUUUAAUUGAAUCUUAUUAUAAAGUGUGUGUUUUGUUUUGAAUAUUCUUCCUCUUCUUCUUCUUCUUAUUUACAGUAUCUUUGUGUUUAAUGUCUGUAAGUUUCCCCCUGCAGGUUUGAGUGACCGGAUGGAUGGAAGUGAUGGAUGACGCCUUUCCUGUAAAAUAAUAAAUAAAUAAAUAAAUAAAUAAAUA